GACAGUAAAUACAGAAGUUGAAAAUCUGAGCAUUUGCUCAACAGCAGAUCAAGUGCAUUCUGGGAGGAGGCAUUGCCAAAGCUAGCAUCUCUACUGGUGUUGCUGUGAUUUGCAGAAGGAAGGGGGGGCCGCUUACCUCCAGAGCAUUGAAUCUCGUGCCAGGUCCCAGGCACUAGAGGCCCUUUAUGGAUAUUAUUUAGUUUAACAUCAUGGCCUUUGUUUUUUUUUUUUUUUUUUUUUUCAAAAUAAACCCAAAUUGCAUGCUCCGAGUCUUUUUCCUCUGGGCCUCUCCCUUGCUGUCACUGUGCCCACUUUAGCACUGCACCUGGCCGGUAAGAAGGCAUCAGGAGAAGCCGUGGUUGAUCCAAACCAGACUGGGAAACGUGAGUGGUCUGCCAUGUGGUUCCACGGGGCAAGAUCUCCAACAAAACCAGGAGGGGCUGUGCUGCAAGCACGGACAGACCUCUUCCAUCUGGAUUCCUUAUUCUUCUUUCUCCAUCACAGGCAUCAGUGGUUGCAACUGCAGGGACUUUCGCCAAAGCUGCCAGGUUAGCCUGGAGGGUUUGUAGAUAAUGGCCCUGGGAAGCUGUUAUUCUUGCAACUCAUUAUUUUAAUGAGAAUGCCGUCUGAUUUGUGUGAAAAUUGCCUCCUUUUAAGACCAGGUCUCUGAGGCAGGCUUGGAAAAUAACAGUAGCCUGAGCUGUACUCUUGGGCUCCCACCACUUGGGGUGUCAGCCUAGAGGCUCUGCAGAGCUUGGAUUCUGUCAGCUCUUAAAAGAUGGUGGUUGUUGUUGGUGGUGGUGCCAAGAAUGAAUAAAGCCCUCAGAAUCUGGAAGUGAGUUCUCCCUCCCUGAGCAAGAUGGCUUCCUUUCUGUAUUUCUGCCCUAGAAUCUCAGAGCUUUAGAGCUGAAAAGGAAUGGGUUAUUUCUAUUGUUAGUCAAUCAACAAAUUCUUGAGCAUCUUACAACAUACUAGGCACUGAGUCAGGACCUGGGGAUGCAGGAGUGAGCAAACAGAGAUGUCCUGUUUGUUCUGUUAUCCAGUUAUUCAUUUGGUUAUUGCCUCAUUCAUAAGGUUAGCUCUCGUGAUGCAUGAAGGGAAGGCAGGGUGUAAGACCUGAUUUGUCUUCUAACUUACAGGUGAAGAGCGUGACUGAGAGUCUGAGAAGUGUGGGUUCUCUAGGAAUUGGGUGACCUGGGACAAGUUAGGUGGACUGUCAGCUUAUCAGAUAGCCACCAUACCCCCGCUGUCCUCUUUUGGAUAUUGCUCUAGGAUGGGAUUAAUUGUCAGGUCCUAAGAACAGUGUGUAGUACGUGCCCAAUAGAUGCUGAUGUAGAACUGAGACCGAGGAAGUCAGGAUCUCAUGGGUCAGAUCUCACACUGGGUAUAAUGAAGGCUGCAUGAUGCAUUAUGGGAACAGAACAGCCCGUGUUUCUGAUGGAACGCGCUUCUCAGGGAGUGAGGUGUCAGCACUGAGCCAAAGAAAACAAAAUGGGCCGGGUGUGGUGGCGAAUGCCUUUAAUCCCAGCACUUGGGAGGCAGAGGCAGGCAGAUUUCUGAGUUCGAGGCCAGCCUGGUCUACAAAGUGAGUUUCAGGACAGCCAGGACUACACAGAGAAACCCUGUCUCAAAAAAAAAAGAAAGAAAAAAAAAAGAAAACAAAAUGGAAAGAGAUGUGGAUGUUUGGGGACUGCUCCAAGGUAAAGGUUAGAAUAACGUGCACUUAGAGCCAGACAGAACCAGGACUCAAAUCCUGGUUCUGUCCUCUCUGCUCUCAAUGCUUUUUGGUUGAGUAACUGAGCCUUUUUGCACCCCUGCGUUUGGGUUCCCCACACCUAUUAUACAUAUAGCCAUGUCGCUAACACUCUCCAACUGGGCCAAAGAAUUUCUCUUCUUCAGUUAUCACUAACACUCUCCAUGAAAAUUCAAGGCUGUGCUCACAUUGUUGCUAACCAGUCUGCUCUUCCCUCUGGCUCCCCAGAGUUGCCUGAGCUGUGGUGUCAGGCCAAGGGUGGUCUCUCAGGCUACCCGAGCCUGUCUUGUGCUGCUGUAAAAUACCACAGGCUAGAUAAUUUAU
rnacentral:lncRNA from 1 species